rnacentral:lncRNA from 1 species
CACUGAUGGCAGCUUGUAAGCCGACUUCUUUUUGCAACUGAAACAUGCGCGCGUGUGCGUGUGCGUGUAUAGCUGUUCUUCAUAAACCACGUCUGCAAGCGUCCACCCACAUCUUAUUCCACACUGAGCAUAGCACAUUAUCCAGUCGAUCUUUCGAUAGCCAGAUGGUAAGGCCAGUUUGUGUCUUCUCUCUCUCUCUCUCUCUCUCUCUCUCUCUCUCUCUCUCUCUCUCUCUCUCUCCCUCUCUCUCUCUCUCUCUCUCUGCCGUCUCGACACAUUCCUUUCCAGAUAUCACAAAGUGUUUGAAGCUUGUGCUUCUCAGGAGGCAACAGGCAGGAUACUGCCAGUUGCCUCCUUCUACAGUUACUAACUUCUUUGGUUAAAUCUUAAGUAUCCAUGUAAUAAAUCAUAUAUGUGCAACAUUUAUAGGCUUUACACGUUUGCUGAUACAUACAUAUAAUACAUACAUGCAUACACUCACACACACACAUAUAUACAUACAUAAAUACAUACAUACAUACACACACACACAUACACCACACACACACACGCGCGCGACUGGCUUCCAGUCAGUUUUCGUCUCCCACUUUCAUUCACAAGGCAUUUAUCGUCAGCCCGGAGUCAUAAUAGAAAACGCUUGCCCAGAGAGCCGCGCAGUAAGACUGAACCUGGAAUGAUGUGGUUGCAAAAUGAGUUGCACCUAUGUGAAUCCCUGUGGAAUAGUUUCCCAGUCUUAUCACAUUCUUCCUCCAACCACCGUACGUUUGUCUGAUCACAUUUCCUUUUCAUCUUUUGAGUCGGUUUUUGGUAUUUCCUGUCAUUGACACUCUUCAUUCUUUUCUUUCUCAUAAGAGACUUAAUCUCAUCUGUUAUCCAUUUCUUAUCUACUACCUCUGAAUGUGGCAUUGUAGUCUAUAUUAUAAUGUUUAUACACUCCUUGCGUCUUUCCUACUGGGUUCUAUGUUUAAGUAUUGCAGCACUGCAUAUUUAUUUUUAUCCCUUACCGUGUAUUCUUCUUUGUUGCUCUGAACUGUGAGAAGCUGUAUAUUCAACAUUCGUAUUUGGUAUUUCCUAAACAUAUUUUAAGGAGUAUUAGAGUGUGGUCACUUUCUGAAACCUGCUACUGAAUACAAUUUCUAACUUUUAAUUUAAUUAAGCCGCUGUUUUUUUUCUCUCUCACACAUACGUAUACAUACAUACAUACAUACAUACAUACAUACAUACAUACAUACAUACAUACAUAUAUGUCCAUAUCAAGUAUGUAUGAAUGUAUGUAUGCAUGCAUCUAUCUAUCCAUCUAUCUAUCUAUCUAUCUAUCUAUCUAUCUAUCUAUCUAUACAUCCAUUUUCUCUCUCUCUAUCUCUCUUCUCUUAACUCUUUACUUGACCUUUCCUCCCUGCCUGUCUGUCUUCCUCUCUACCUGUCUCUCUCCUUCUUAUUUUUCACCCUUUCUGGUUUCUUCUCCUCUCUCUCACUCCUCCUCCUCUCUCUCGUCUCUGACCGGACGGCUACUAACUUUCUUUCUGCCCACAGCUUUCUACUUGUCAGCAUCGGCUUUUUUCUCUCUUCCGCAGCCGAUCUUCAGAAACGGUCUAACGAAUUUUUCCACCGUCUAGGCUUAAAAAAGCUCUUAUUGCUGGUUUCCUUGUCCUGUCUUUUACUGUUUUUAUCUUUAUUUGUACUGUUUUUUCUUCAUUUGUAUUGCUUUUACGUCCUGUACUUGUCACUUUUUUUACCCCUCUGCAAAAUAUUUUAUUUAAUUCAUUUUGCGGGAAGAAUUGCUUCGGCGUGGUCGUGUUCUGCCCUUACCUUCGAAACACGCAUUGAGUCGAAACAGGGGCAGCUGAAGAAGGGGAAUGUUCCUUGUAUUGUUUGUCUUGUACUCUGUUUUUUUCGUUGUUAAAAAAAGUCCGUUUCCUCGUUUGAUUUUGUUUUCGUUUCUCGUUGUGUUCUACGUUUAUUUGUGGUGUCCUGUACUCAUAUAUGCAUGUAUAUAUACAUAUAGAUGUAGGUAUGUACAUAUAUGUAUGUAUGCAUAUGUUUUAUUUAUUAAAUUGUUAUUAUAUAUAUAUAUAUAUAUAUAUAUAUAUAUAUAUAUAUAUAUAUAUAUAUGUAUAUGUGCAUACAUACAUACGUAUAUAUAUAUAUGUUAUAUAUAUAUAUAUAUAUAUAUAUAUAUAUAUAUACCGGAGUAAACACAUAAAUGUGAAACAAGGUGGAAAAAAGAGUACUCAAAUACCAGUGGUAGAGUAAUAUGCUUUAUUUAAAGCAGCAGAAAAUUCAACAAAAUCUGUUACUCUGAGUUUCCCGUUGCCGUUCAUCGGACAGUUUUUAAGACUUCAAAUUCAUGAACGGCAACGGGAAACUCAGAGUAACAUAUUUUGUUGAAUUUUCUGCUGCUUUAAAUAAAGUAUAUAUAUAUAUAUAUAUAUAUAUAUAUAUAUAUAUAUAUAUAUAUAUAUAUAUAUAUAUAUAUAUAUAUAUAUUAUUAUAUGAUAUUAGAGGAAAAUUAAAACCAAGUAUCUCAAGUCAUUUAAAAUAAUUUAAUUAUGGUAAGGCGAAUUUGAAGUCGUACAGAUAUUGAAGUCUUACAGUUAUUUUCCUGCCUAAAUACAGUCUUCUAACUACUUUUACUCUUCUAUUUUAUUCCUUAUAAACUGUGAAUUCUAUUCCUUGUAAACUGUAAAUUUUCCCUGUCUAAAAUAUUCAUACAUUGUGUCUGAUGACGGAAUACCCAGUGCGUGGACAUGCUAACCUACCACUUGGGUUAUGAUAGAAGCGGCUGAAAGACUUCAAAUUCAUCUUACCCUAAUUAGAGAUUUGAGAUACUCGUUCUGCUUUGGUUUUGAUUUUUCCUCUAAUAUAAUAUAUACAUGCUAUAACGGAACUCUAACACAGAUCUCUAGAUCCAGCCUUAGCUGUGAUUACGGGAACUAAUUGGUCGACCAACCAUAGCACUUACCCAGCGUACCUAUUCGUUUAGAUCACAAUUAAAAGAAGACAACAAAGAAAAUUCUUUUAAAGAAUUUUCUUUGUCUUCUUUUCAUUGGAUUAUUUACCCUUCGUUAAACCAUGUGAUGGUAUAAUCGUCUUGAAACUUGGACUUUCUACACCAGAAGUAUUGCAGCUUUGGCUUGGAUCCCGACAGGGUUGAUAGCACAGUAUUCGAGUUGAGUACUUCUCUAGAAAUAUCACACACACACAACUGGCUUUAUAUAUAUACAUAUAUAUAUAUAUAUGUAUAUAUAUAUAUAUAUAUAUAUAUAUAUAUAUAUAUAUAUAUAUAUAUAUAUAUAUAUAUAUUUGGGUUUUAUUAUUCUCAGUUUCUAGCCAGAGUUGUGUCUAGUACUGGUAGUCUCUAUAUAUAUAUAGACUACCAGUACUAGACACAGAACUCUGGCUAGAAACUGAGAAUAAUAAAACCCAAAUCCUUCAUUCGUACUAUGCCAAGCCUAUGGCCUCCAAUUACUUGAUCCACCGGAACUCAGCCAUCGCGGACAAUGCCAAAUUCAAUAUUUUGAUGGCAGACCUCGUCAGAAUAAUGCGAAAUGUGUCCCGCAUGUGCGAGCCUACAGAGUUAAAGAGACACAUACAACAUUUCGUUCACCGCAUGCAGUUCUCAGGUUACAGCCAUAAAGAAAGGAUCAGAGUAUACAAAGGAGCCAUGAAGAAAUUUGAUACUAUCUUAUAUAAUGAUAGGAAUAGGAUUUGCCACUCUAUAGGAGCAAAUCAUGGAGCACUAUUGAAAGGACAAAGAAGAAAAUAGGGAAGGCCAACUCUUGGUAUGAUAGCCACAAAUACCAGAGUGUCAUGUUCGUUGACACCACCCCUAGAGGUGAACUGGCAUACCGCUUUAGAAGGACCCUAGACAAACUUAAGCUAAGGAUUAAGGUUGUUGAAAAGCCAGGUAACCCUAUCAAAUCCAUAGUCGGUAGAACCUACCCUUUUAGUAGAAACCCCUGUACAGAUAGGUACUGUACUGUGUGUAGAUUUAGCCCACAAACAAACUGUAAAGCCAGAAAUGUAGUCUGUAGUAUAAGAUGUAUAGAGGGACGAUGCAGUAACGACAACGAUAUACGUAGGGGAAACGGCACGAAGUAUAGGAGAGCGAAUAAAUGUACAUUGGAGAGAACUUAAGGAAGAAAAGAGCUCAUCUAUUCUAUACCAACACGCCGAGCAGGAACACGGGGCUCAAUCAACAACAUAGAAGUUAAAAUCUUGUCCACACAUAGAACAGACGCAACAAUUAGACAAAUUACGGAAGCUACACACAUAAUAGAAGAUAAACCUAACCUGAAUAGGAAACUGGAAUGGAACACUAGCACACACCACAACAUAUGACAGAAGAGGAUCCCCAUAAACUGGUUACAAUAUAAACAAAAUUGAAAACGUAAUAAAAUAAAAUUCACAGGUAAAUAUAUAAAUGGAAGUAAAUAACUAUAUACAUUAAAAAAAAAAUUUUUUUUUAUUUUUUAAAUUUUUAUAUUUAUUAUAUAUAUAUAUAUAUAUAUAUAUAUAUACAUACAUACAUACAUACAUACAUACAUACAUACAUACAUAUAUGUAUACAUAUAAGCGAUUGCAAUAACCAUUUUCUACUUCUUUACUUUUUACUUCCUCCCCUUCGGUUUUUCCCCUUAUUUAAUGGUCAUUUUCAUAGCAUGGUUUGAUUGCAUCGAUAACUGACGAGAUGCUGGGGCAGGUUUCCGCUCCGACAUCCGAAACUCGGAGUCUUAUUAUGGCAACCGAAUAAUUGUCACAUAUUAUAUAUAUAUAUAUAUAUAUAUAUAUAUAUAUAUAUAUAUUUAUAUAUACACAUACAUACAUACAUACAUACAUACAUACAUACAUACAUACAUACAUACAUACACACAUACAUAUAUAAAGACUAAGGUAGAAAUAAGAGAAUAAGAUUAGGGAAUAAGCAUCACUCGGUCUGUUGCAGCCCUCAGGAGGGCACUGACACUUCUAUUUGCAUUAUUUGGUGCUGAAAGUCUGCUACAACUAAUUUUAAAUGGUUAGAUCGAAGCAACGUCAAAUGAAGGGCCUUGCUGAUUCCGGGAAUAGAUUCCAAGACUUUGCGAAUGUGACUUCCAUAGCCUUGACAUGAAGCUAAGCGUCAACUUAGGGAACACAAGUAGAAAGAAAUAACCUAGAGAAAAUAUUGCUUUACUUUCUUGGGGAGAAACAGAAAAACAUAUUUGUUUCUCACCGGAAUACUGUGACUUCAAGCGAGUAAAAUAUUCUUUUCUACUUUAGGCCCGAAAUUUUGGGGAAGGGGGCCAGUCGAUUAGAUCGAUCCCAGUACGCAAAUGGUACUUAAUUUAUCGACCCCAGUACGCAAAUGAUACUUAAUUUAUCAAUCCCAGUACGCAAAUGGUACUUAAUUUAUCAAUCCCAGUACGCAAAUGGUACUUAAUUUAUCGAGCCCAGUACGCAAAUGGACCUCAGCAGAAUUUGAACUCAGAACGUAAAGACAGACGAAAUACUUCUAAGCAUUUCGCCCGGCGUGCUAACGAUUCUGCCAGCUCGCCGCCAUAAGCGAGUAAAAUAUUGACUGAUUUCUAAUACUGACAAUUUGUUCAUAAGUGAUGGAUGGACUGAAUCGAACCCAGUACCCUGAUAUUUUUUAUAUAUUAACUUUCUCUUUAAGACUGGAAAUUAAAUCCACCACAGCAGGAUUUGAUCUUUGACUGUACAGCACUCGACUAAUUCUGCUAGUCCAAUAUCCUGUCCACAAAAGACAUGUGAGUUUUUUAGAUUUGCACAAUGCCAUCAGUGUUGGGAAGGUGUAAAAGCGUUGAAACCGUUCUUAAGACUUGAGUAGUUCUUAUUUAAGUGAGCCUAGGGAAACGAAACACAUUGUCGACCCUAGUGUUAUAUGGAAUCUUCCGAAAAUGAAUACUGCGUGGUAUUUUCUUCAGAGUUCCAAUGGCCCUACGCUGGUUUCCCCACGAGAAUAUAGUUGUUCGAUCGAGGAAAUAUUCCUUUUACUACACAAAUAUCGUGUAUGUAGCUCACUAUUGCACUGACACAAUUACUACUUAAAGUAAUUUUCUAGCAGAAUCAGCGUGAUACAGUGUAUGGCAAGUUUGGACGUUUAAAUAAUCUAUAUAUAUAAAGCUGAAGUUGUCUGUGUAUGGCAGGUUUGGUAGCCUUCAACUAACACUAUCUCCUCCGAGACCCUGCGGCGCAAGUUGACCAAAAUUGAGAGUAUGAUAGAAGGCUUGCUCUUCCUUCCGUAGAAGAAAAAAUUCAAAUCGGACCAUGUUAACACCAAAAAUUAUUUACAUCAAAAAGGUGUUUUUUUGCUAUGAAAAUCCCUAUUUUUUACGACUUUUUGACUGCUGUGUCGCCAUUUUUCGGUGUAUUUCAACCAGAAAAAUAUUCAUUUAAAGAGAAUAACAAGCUAAAUAAUGCAAAAUUCUUACUUUUCAAAACUUCCAAUUCUAAAGGGUCGAAACAAACCCGAGCAACGCCGGGCGAUACUGCUAGUAAUAGAUACAAUCUUUCCGACAAGCGUUCUCGCAGCUUACGUCUUCCAAUUUUACUAAUUUGUCUCAUAGGGUUCAGGGCUAUAGUAAAAGACAUUUGUCCAAAAUGCUGUGCUCUAGGAUCGAACUUGUGAUCGCAAAGUGAAAUUCUUAACCACUCAGCUAUGCUCCACGCUACUACUAGUCUCCAUGCAAUCGAAUAAAUACAAGAAUAAAUACAAAGAAAAACAAAUGAUGAAAUAAAUUUGUUUCCAUGCUGGAUGAAACUCUGUUUCCACAAUUUCCACAAAGUGGAGCGGUAGAAAUAUAGAAAUAAAGAUAUCAGAUUCUACAAAUUGUCCUAUGUAAAUAAAGUUAUCACUGAUAAUGCUAUUUUCAGUUACAGUACAGACAGCUGAUAUUUACGAUAACAGAAUGCAUUUUACUUCUUUUCUGUUUCUAACAAUUGAUUUACUGUAGCCUAUUUCGGUUAUGUAUAGAUUUUUACAGCUGAAAACAUACUCCGUUGUGGAUAUUAUACACAUAGUAUCACAUAGGCGAACCGCAGUUUUGUAUUGAGGUCAAUACAAUAGUACUUAUAAACCAUUGAAUUAGAAUUGUUGGAGAUAACCCACAAUUAUUGCAUAAAUCAGUGCAUCUGUCUUGUCGUAUGUUUCCAAUUAAGAUAGCACAUAGAUAUUGUAUAAAUUGGGAAAUCACAAUGGUGCUAAGGGGUGAAGAUAGCAAAUGAUCGUCUGAAUUAGUGUGCUUUAUUUUACACAGACUGCUAAGUAUAUCCCAUAAUUAAUGUAAAAAUAUUAGUGUGCAUGAACUAUGAUGAUUUCUGAUGCAGACAUACAUACACAUAUCACAUCACAACACACAACCCACACACCCUUCCCGUUAUAUAUAUAUAUAUAUAUAUAUAUAUAUAUAUAUAUAUAUAUAUAUAUAUAUAUAUAUAUAAAUAAUGAGUUGCCUAAUAGUGGUUUUAUCUCUAAUUUAAUUUAUAUCUAUCUAUCUAUCU